GUCUAGCAGCCAGACGAGCUUUGUUAGCAAGGAGUCACAAGGACCAACAGUUUCAAGACACUUCAAAAUGCUGGUGGCCCAGAGAUCUCUGAAGACUGUGGUAUUUCUAGUUAUCUUUUUCUGUGCUUGUUUGGGAAUACCUCAUGAAACUCAAAAGAAAAGGACAGUGUCUGAGUACCAGUUCAUGCAUGAUAAAGG